rnacentral:rRNA from 1 species
GACGAACGCUGGCGGCGUGCCUAAUACAUGCAAGUAGAACGCUGAAGAGAGGAGCUUGCUCUUCUUGAAUGAGUUGCGAACGGGUGAGUAACGCGUAGGUAACCUGCCUUGUAGCGGGGGAUAACUAUUGGAAACGAUAGCUAAUACCGCAUAACAAUGGGUGACACAUGUCAUUUAUUUGAAAGGGGCAAUUGCUCCACUACAAGAUGGACCUGCGUUGUAUUAGCUAGUAGGUGAGGUAACGGCUCACCUAGGCGACGAUACAUAGCCGACCUGAGAGGGUGAUCGGCCACACUGGGACUGAGACACGGCCCAGACUCCUACGGGAGGCAGCAGUAGGGAAUCUUCGGCAGUGGGGGCAACCCUGACCGAGCAACGCCGCGUGAGUGAAGAAGGUUUUCGGAUCGUAAAGCUCUGUUGUAAGUCAAGAACGAGUGUGAGAGUGGAAAGUUCACACUGUGACGGUAGCUUACCAGAAAGGGACGGCUAACUACGUGCCAGCAGCCGCGGUAAUACGUAGGUCCCGAGCGUUGUCCGGAUUUAUUGGGCGUAAAGCGAGCGCAGGCGGUUUGAUAAGUCUGAAGUUAAAGGCUGUGGCUCAACCAUAGUUCGCUUUGGAAACUGUCAAACUUGAGUGCAGAAGGGGAGAGUGGAAUUCCAUGUGUAGCGGUGAAAUGCGUAGAUAUAUGGAGGAACACCGGUGGCGAAAGCGGCUCUCUGGUCUGUAACUGACGCUGAGGCUCGAAAGCGUGGGGAGCGAACAGG